rnacentral:misc_RNA from 1 species
UUCUUUCUAUUAUUCUCUUUCUUUUUGCGAAAGUUUGAAAUUUUACUUUUUUAUUAUAUUUUUUUUUCUUCUCUCCAGCUGUCUGAUUUACGUGAUAAAGUAGGAAGAGCCGAAAGAAAAGCUCAAGAUGCUGAAGCAAAGGCGCAGGUUAUGGAAGAGCAGUUUUAUGAAAUAAAAAGAAGAGCUUCACCAACAAAUAUUUGCAUUUGUGAUUUAACAUUUUGUUUUGAAAGCGAUCGGACAUGUUCUCACAAGGAAUGCAUGAUAUCGUCAUUGGAACAUCAAAUUGAAGAACAAAAGAGAUUGAGAGUGUGUGAUGCAAAACAAGUUGAAGAUAAAGCUUCAAAAAUUAAAGAGUGGGUAAAAAACAAACUGAAAGAGCUUGAGGAGCAAAAUCAGCACUUGAAAGAACAAAAUCAUAAGUGCAAUGUCCAGUUGGAGUUCCUAAGAGAUCAACUAAGCGAAUUAUCAAGUCCUAAGAUUCCGCAUAAAAAAGUAGGAGAUCGAGGCAGUGCAGAGGACUCUUCUCGUGGUAGCUAUGAAGAAAAUGUGGAUUCUGAUGACAGUUUACCGCCACCAGAAACUCUUGAUUAUUCCUCGCAAGCAGCACAUAUGCAAGAAGUUUUAAAAGAGCACAUCUUCGGCAUAACUGAUGAAUAUAACCAUAUACCCAAGUUACCCAUAAAACUUAAUCAAAAUUGCCCUCCUAAUAUAUUGUAUGCUUCUGUUGAUUAUUUGUCCAAAAAGCAGAAACAUAUUCCAUGCCAAACAAUGACUGAACCUCCUAAAAUAAGGCUGGAAAGAAAAAAAUAUGCACCUGACUGUUGUUUAACUCCAUCCACAAUUAGUACAACAUCAGAACACAGAUUUUCAGAAAUGGACUGCCCUUCUUGGAAUCAUUCGUCUUCUAGAAUCGGUUCUGGAUUAGUUGAUGUUGAGACUCCUACUAGUCCUGAGUUAGAAUCCUCUUUUCCCGCAAUAUCUUCUCAAAACGUAUUGGAAGAUGAUUGCUUAAGUCAAAGACAAUCCUUUUCUGUCCCAGAACCACAUGAUUGCCAAAGUGAGUGUUUAUGCCAUAUAGAUCAAGCAUAUCUUCAAUCUCAUGUACCAAAAUCUCAUAAAAUUCGCCCUCUUACUGCUCCAAAUGCUUGUGUAUCUGAUUUAGAAAGACUUAAAUUUCUUGAAUCAAGCAAUCACAAUCAUAAACCUGAUAAAAAUGUUAUAACUCUUGAAAAUUUUCCAUGUUCUUUGAAUUUAUAUGGAAAUCACAUUUGCCAUCAAGAUGAACUUCACGAUUAUGCUGAAAUCUACACUCCAAAUAAAGAAUGUAUUGAUUUUUACACCAAUAAUGAUGGCUGUGAAUCCACUACAACUAAUGAAGCAGUUACUUGUACAAAAGCACCAACUCCUCCUCUGCAUCGUUUUCCUUCCUGGGAGUCCAGAAUUUAUGAUGUUGCCUUAAGUGGAAUAAAUGUACCAAUUGAUACCUUUAAGGCACCUCUGGCUGAUACUUCCAAUAAUAAUCAAGCUAAAAGUUCAACUGAUACUAGUAAUUCUAAUGCUGCUUUUACAGAACUUAGCAUCCCUGUAUAUGCUACAGUGAAUGGGCGAGCAUCUCAAAUUAGAUCUGUUCCAUUUACUGGGGAGUCCUCUGAUUCUUCAGAUAAUGAGGACACCAGGGUAACUAUGAUUACAACUUCAUCUCAAACUACUAGUGGUGACACAGAAUCUUCAACAUCAAUUGGGGCAAAUGCUGUUGAUCACAGCCCAGUCGAUAAGAAAGUAUUUAUGCAUUGUAGAAAGUUGUCGAACUCUACUCUUCCUCCAUGUCCAACAUCCUCCACAGUAUCUAAAUACCAUUCAACUACAUCCUCUCCAAUGAAACAAAGAGAGUUAUCUAGUGAAUCUAUUUUAUCUGAUGAUUAUGCUGUUCCUCCUGAUGCUGUAUCCAUUGAUGAAAUUAGCAUGACAGACAACCGUCCUAGUCUAAAUAAUACUCCAACAUUUUACCGCAAAAUUAUUAACUGUGAUGAUUCAAUAAAAAAGGAAACUCUUGAAAAGUGUGGUUUUCUAACUAAACUUGGAGGAAAAUUUAAAACUUGGCGUCGAAGAUGGUUUGUGUUGCGCAAUGGGACUCUCAGUUAUUAUAAAUCUCAGACUGAUGUAAAUAGAAAGCCUCAAGGUCAAAUAGUUCUGGAUGAUGUUUGCCGUGUUAAUCGAGCUUAUGAUGCUGCUACAUUUGAAAUUUCAACUGGAAAAAGAGUAUACUAUCUAACAGCUGACUCUAUAAAUAUGAUGGAAGAGUGGAUAAAAGUACUACAGAAUGUGUUGCGCCAAAAUGCCACUAAGCUAUUAUUGACUAAAGAUGAUAAGCCUACUAUUGAAGGCUGGUUGACUAAGGUUAAGCAUGGUCAUGCGAGACGCAGUUGGUGUGUUCUUAUUGGACGAAUGUUUCUGUACUUUAAAACUCCAAAUGAUUGUAAUCCUCUUGGUCAAAUAAACAUGCGAGAUGCUAGAGUAGAGGAAGUCUCACAUGUUUCUGACAGUGAUGAUGAAGAUCAUGAUCACAAUAAAAUCACAAAAUCUGAGUGUACCAUAGGAAUAUUUCCUAAUCAUCAAGGACCCACUUACCUCCUUAUGGAUAAUAAGCAGGAAAUGGAUUCUUGGUUGUAUAACUUGACUGUAGUCUCAUCGGGUCAUAAUUUAGCAGGUACUCAAACUGAACAACUUUUUGCCAAACUGAUGGAAGUUGAUGGUGAUGAAAGCUCACCUAUAUGGAAACAUCCUCUUCUUCUUUAUACUAAAGAUUCAUUAUCUCAACCUCUAACUACUCUUCCUUCUGAACAACUUCAAAUGGAAGCAGUUAAAUUAUUUAAAUCCAUCCAAUUAUUUAUAUCUGUACCUAUGGAUACAUCAGGGAUUGAAUAUCAUGUUGCUUUAGCUCAAAAUUCUUUACAACAUUGUCUCAUUUAUCAAGAAUUGCAAAAUGAGUUGUUCUGUCAGUUAAUAAAACAAACUUCUCGCCAUUGUCAUCACAAAAGUGGAGUUCAGCAACUUAUUAUUUGUGCCACUCAAUCUCUUUUUAUGUGUGACACAUCAUCUACAGAAAAAGGAACAUCGGUGUCCACAGGAAACACAGAGAAACCUAUUCCAUCUGAAAGCAAAUUUAAUCCAGCUCCUUUUGUAUUUGUUCAAGCCUGGCAACUUUUAUCAUUAGCUGUAUCAUUGUUUCUGCCCAAAAAUCGAACAUUGUGGUAUUUAAGAAUUCACCUGCAAAGAAAUGCUAACACAAAGUUUGAAGCUGGUAAAUAUGCAAUCUUUUGUCAACGUGCUUUAGAAAGAACAUUGGCUAAUGGAGGAAGAGAAUGUAAGCCUUCCAGAAUGGAAGUUCUCAGUAUUUUUAUGAAGAAUCCUUAUCAUCAUUCAUUACCACAUAGUAUACCUGUACAUUUUUUAAAUGGAACUUACCAGGUCUUUGGAUUUGAUGGUUCUACUACUGUUCAUGAAUUCAUUGAAACUGUCAAUCGAGAAGUUGGCAUUCGGGAUUGUGAAUAUUCUGGCUUUGCUUUGUUUAGUGAUGAUCCAAUUGAAAAAGAUUUGGAACACUGCCUUUUAAAAGAUGCAAAGCUAUGUGAUGUUAUUUCUCAAUGGGAACAAGCCUUACGAGAGCAGCAUUUUGGAAAAUUUGAAAAUACUAAAGUAUUAAAGCUUAUUUACAAGAAUAGAAUCAUACUACGGCAAAAUAUGAAAGCUGAGACUGAUAAAGAAAGAUUACUUUUAGUAUAUCAAAUAAAUGAAGAUAUUGUUGAUGGAAAGUUUCCAUUAUCCAAGGAAUUGGCUGUUGAACUUGCUUCUCUUCUUGCACAAAUUGAAUUUGGUGAUUUACCAAAUGAAAUGCAUUAUGGAUCAGAGACACAUACCAAACCAAAACUGCAAUUGGUACAGGCUCUAGAUAAAUUUUUUCCAAAACAUUUAAGGAAUGCUUCAACAGAUAGAAAACUUUGUGAUUCAAUUAAAGAAAAAUGGAUUGGGCUUAAAGGCUGUAGCAUCACAGAUUGUGUUCGAGUUUAUUUGAACUGUGCUAGAAAGUGGUCUUUCACAGGAGGAAAACUUUUUCCUGCUAAAUUAAAAUGUGAUGCUAUUCAAAAUGUUUGGCUUGCAGUUGCUGAAAACUGUAUUGCAGUUUUGGAUGCUGUUUCAUUGCAAUGUUUGGUACAAUAUCCAUAUUCUUCUGUGCUGACAUUUGGAGGUUGUCGAGAGGAUUUUAUGUUAGUAAUCAACUGUGGAGAUAUACCAGGAGAAAGAAACCAGUGUUCAACUGAACGUUUGUUGUUUAACAUGACAAAGCCCAAGAUUCUGGAGCUGACAUUGUUGAUUGCAGAUUACAUGAAUGCAACAGUUCAGAAUGCGCAAUACAAUAAGAGAAGUGGCAGUGCUGUGCCAUCUUCACCUAAAGGAUCUAUUUCCACUGUAUAUAAUUCUGAUAAAAUUCAAUCUAAAAUCCGUGCCAACCACACUGUUUCACAGAGCAGUAAUACAACUACUGGAAGCAUCCCACUUGACUCUUCUCCUGAUCAUGCAAAAUUGUCCUUGUCAUGAAGGCUAUCUCAAUAUUUCAGUGAACUUGAUCAAAAUUUUCUCAAUAUAUUUGGGGGCCAAUGUUUAAAUUAAAGUUUUUCAACCAUAUAUUUUCACCUAUAAGGCAAUUGUUAUCAACCAUCUAAAUAUUCACAAGCCAAUCACUCAUCUGUUGUAUGAAAUUUCCAUCAAACUUCUGUUGUUGUUGGAAAUAUAUAGCAAGUAUCAUUUUUUUAAAGUUACUAACAGUAUUUUCACUUCUAUUAACUUCAUAUUUGUCUUGUACCACAUAUUUUUAACUUUUCUUUAAUGAAUGUCAACCAAAUAAAUGUCUUUAUUUAGAUGUAUUGACAUUAAACUUCUGUUAUUGUUGUUGGAAAUAUGUAGCAAAUACCAUUUUUUUUUUAAAUUAGCAACAGUAUUUUCACCUCUAUUAACUUCAUAUUUGUCUUGUGCCACAUGCUUUUAACAUUUUUAUAAAUUAAUGUCAACCAAAUAAAUGUCUUUAUUUAGAUGUAUUGGCACUGUUUUCAAAGCUUAACAGCCUAUUGUAACUUUUUUAAUGCAUGCUUGUAAAUCAAAAUUAAUUUUGUCUAUUAGUUAAAAAGAUUGCAAUGUAUAUAGUCAUCAUUCAAGUGUUUAUAUGUAUAUAUAUAAUUUUCUGAAAGAAAAAUAAAUCUACAUGUAUUUUUUGUGGUACUUUUACUAAAACUGGAAAUAGUUCGGUAGUGGUUCAUGAAAGAACUUGUAAAGUAUUUAAAUAUGCUAACAAGAUGUAUUUUUGUGUGUAGUGUUAUUUUACAUAUUCACUUUUUAAUAAAAUGUUUAUUUAAAUCAUCCUAAA